rnacentral:rRNA from 1 species
CCCUUAGAUGUUCUGGGCCGCACGCGCGCUACACUGACGAAUGCAACGAGCUUAUAACCUUGGCCGAAAGGUCUGGGUAAUCUCCAAAUUUCGUCGUGAUGGGGAUAGAUUAUUGCAAUUAUUAAUCUUCAACGAGGAAUGCCUAGUAAGCGCAAGUCAUCAGCUUGCGUUGAUUAAGUCCCUGCCCUUUGUACACACCGCCCGUCGCUCCUACCGAUUGAAUGGUCCGGUGAAGCGUUCGGACCGUGGCCUUUGGACGGUUCGCCGUCUGUUGGCUGCGGGAAGUUCGUUAAACCUUAUCAUUUAGAGGAAGGAGAAGUCGUAACA